GGGUAAACUCCAUUAUUAUUCAGAAACAGAUACUUCUACACACAAUCCAGCUAUCAUCACUCUUCUUGAAACCUCUCGACACUUGAACCCCCGUACCGCAAUUCUACCGCAUCCAAACUCACCAUUUACACGAUGAAAUAAAAGGGAUAUGCAUAAAGUUAUCCGACCAAAUAUCGCUGCAUAUAAGAGAUAAACUAUCUGAAGCAUGUCCAAGAAUUCAAACUCAGGGGGAUGAAACAAUGUACAUUGCCCGUCAAGACUCUGGUGCAGGUGGACCGGUAGGUGCGGGGGGCUUCAAAAGAGGUUGAAGGGCUUUCACAACGAUGCUCAUAUUUGGUCGGAACUCGGCUUCAUACUGCACGCACAAUGCGGCCACAGCUGCUAGCUUUGCAACUCCUUUAGGAGGGUAUUCUCCCUUUAGUCUUGGAUCUACACAUUGCUUCACUUUGUCCUCGCUUAGCCUUGGAGUAGCCCAGG
rnacentral:misc_RNA from 1 species